rnacentral:rRNA from 1 species
GGGGAAUAUUGGACAAUGGGCGAAAGCCUGAUCCAGCCAUGCCGCGUGUGUGAAGAAGGUCUUCGGAUUGUAAAGCACUGUAAGUUGGGAGGAAGGGCUGCAAGUUAAUACCUUGUAGUUUUGACGUUACCAACAGAAUAAGCACCGGCCAACUUCGUGACAGCAGCCGCGGUAAUACGAAGGGUGCAAGCGUUACUCGGAAUUACUGGGCGUAAAGCGUGCGUAGGUGGUGGUUUAAGUCCGUUGUGAAAGCCCUGGGCUCAACCUGGGAACUGCAGUGGAUACUGGAUCACUAGAGUGUGGCAGAGGGUAGUGGAAGUCCCGGUGUAGCAGUGAAAUGCGUAGAGAUCGGGAGGAACAUCAGUGGCGAAGGCGACCGCCUGGGCCAACACUGACACUGAGGCACGAAAGCGUGGGGAGCAAACA